CAGAGGUGCCAGAUUAUAUGGGGUUGGUUUAGGUCCAGUUUAUGGUGUUGUUUCCCUCUCUGG
rnacentral:tRNA from 1 species